CCAUAUCACGUUGAAACAGCAUUUUUUGUACGAUCACCGAAGUUAAGCACCAUCAAGCCGGGUCAGUACCUAGAUGGGCGACCGCUUGGGAAUGCGAGGUGCUGUAA